AAUAGCUUUCGACUAAAGACGCAGACGAUGAGCAAAAGUCUGCCUUAAUAAAAUAGCUCGGGGGAACCUUAAGACAGGACAUCGGGGCGAAGGUAUGAAGGUACGGCAAUGCAGCCCAGUCUGGUCUGAGGAGGAGUGGGACUGUGAAAGCUGCAGCAAAGGGAAAGGACUUUCACCAGUUUCUUGAGUGAGAAGCGGAUGUUGGUGAAAAAAGGAAGUUGAGUUCAAGUUUGGAGCACAUGGCAUAAGCCAAAGAUCCCGGGAUGACUCUAAAAGCUAACGAGAUGAUUCUGGUUAAACCGGGCAUUCCUCAGAGCAAGGAAAGAUCUUUCAAAAAUAGAAUCAAGAGAAAGCGCUAGAACCGAUGUAAGUAAGAUC
rnacentral:lncRNA from 1 species